rnacentral:rRNA from 1 species
CACGGGGGGAGCAAGCGUUGUUCGGAAUCACUGGGCGUAAAGGGCGUGUAGGCGGUCAAGUAAGUGGAAUGUGAAAUGCCCCGGCUCACCCGGGGACCUGCAUCCCAAACUGCUUGGCUUGAGUAUGGGAGAGGAUGAGGGAAUUCCUGGUGUAGCGGUGAAAUGCGUAGAUAUCAGGAGGAACACCGGUGGCGAAGGCGCUCAUCUGGCCCAAUACUGACGCUGAGGCGCGAAAGCUAGGGGAGCAAACGGG